UCUAAGUUUAUAAAAUAAAUAUUUUAGAAUUUAAAAUAUUAAAAUUAGAUAAACAGAUUUUUAAUUGAUAAAAUAAAAUAUUAAUAAUUAGAUAAUAUUUAUUAUUUGAGUAUGCAGUAAAUUGGAUUAUGAUUGGUAUUUUUACGAUAUUUGGUUGACAAAUAGAUACAUAUAACUGGCAGUAGUUAUUAAGCGGGGAUUUAGUUAUGUGAUACCGAAUAUUCGAAUUAAAAGAUAUUUGAUUCACAAAUCUUAUAAUAUAAAGAAGAAGAUUAUUCUCUUCUCUUCUUGCCACCUCAUCAAAUAGAUCAAAUAGAGCAAGGAGGUGGCGACACGUGUCCUGCUAAAUGAAAAAGUUUCGCUUACUUUUGAUUUUUUAUGGACUUAUACGGUUUGAUUAUUUGUAGGUUCUGGAUAAUGUGUGUUGGGCUGAGAAACAAACAACAACUUGGCCCAUUGUUUUUUCUUGGUAAAAUAUGUAGCCCGUUGUUUGCCUUCAUCUUCUUCCCGAGUAUUAUUGUUUAUAGGGUCCGUCGUCUCCUCCAAAAUCUGAUUUCGUCUACCACCAGCGGGUGUUCUGAAAGGUCGUGUGAGUUGAGACUUCGUGAGUGAUCUAUGUGUUGAUGUCUGUUCAUGUCGUUUUGUUAUCGAUUUGUCACCUCCGAACCGUUACAAGUUGGAUUGAUUCAACCAUUAACUACUUAUUAAUUAACUCUUUCACCCGCUAUAACCACGAUCCCAGCCACGAUCCUUCAUUCAAUGAUUCUUAUUCCUCUUGCAGUCGGUGAGUCUCCACCCUAAAAAAGGUAUGUGUGGAGCUUCCUCUGUAGAUUGAUGAUUUGAGUUCAUAGCUUCAUAAGUUUAUCUCAUGGCGGGCAACAACAAUGAAGGCACAAAGACUCUUGAUCACAUAUCAAGUUUGAAACCCAUUAUGUUCUCCCAUGAUAUUGUCUUCUUCUUUUUUAUGUAUAUGUACAUGAACGAUUGGAGAGAGAUUUGGGCUGACGAUUCUCUAAGACUCUAACAUGGCUAUCCAUGCCUCUGUUUAAUUGGGUCA